UACGGAAGGUGCAAGCGUUAUCCGGAUUCACUGGGUUUAAAGGGUGCGUAGGCGGAUAGGUAAGUCAGAGGUGAAAUCCUGGAGCUCAACUCCAGAACUGCCAUUGAUACUAUCUAUCUUGAAUAUUGUGGAGGUAAGCGGAAUAUGUCAUGUAGCGGUGAAAUGCUUAGAUAUGACAUAGAACACCCAUUGCGAAGGCAGCUUACUACGCAUAUAUUGACGCUGAGGCACGAAAGCGUGGGGAUCAAACAGGAUUAGAUACCCUGGUAGUCCACGCCCUAAACGAUGGAUACUCGACAUACGCGAUACACUGUGUGUGUCUGAGCGAAAGCAUUAAGUAUCCCACCUGGGAAGUACGUUCGCAAGAAUGAAACUCAAAGGAAUUGGCGGGGGUCCGCACAAGCGGUGGAGUAUGUGGUUUAAUUCGAUGAUACGCGAGGAACCUUACCUGGGCUAGAAUGCUGGGAGACCGCUAGUGAAAGCUAGUUUUGUAGCAAUACACUGCCAGUAAGGUGCUGCAUGGCCGUUGUCAGCUCGUGCCGUGAGGUGUUGGGUUAAGUCCCGCAACGAGCGCAACCCCUAUCUUUAGUUGCCAACAGGUAAUGCUGGGAACUCUAAAGAAACUGCCGCCGUAAGGUGUGAGGAAGGAGGGGAUGAUGUCAGGUCAUCAUGGCCUUUAUGCCCAGGUCUUCACACGUACUACAAUGGGGAAGACAAAGGGCUGCAACAUAGCGAUACGAAGCCAAUCCCAAAAACUUCCUCUCAGUUCAGAUUGCAGGUUGCAACUCGCCUGCAUGAAGCUGGAAUCGCUAGUAAUCGUAUAUCAGCAAUGAUACGGUGAAUACGUUCCCGGACCU
rnacentral:rRNA from 1 species